rnacentral:rRNA from 1 species
AACGCACCUUGCGCUCCUUGGUAUUCCGAGGAGCAUGCCUGUUUGAGUGUCUUGAAGUCAUCAACCUCUCCCGUUUUGCGACGGGUCCAGGUUGGAGCCUGGGGGCUUGCGGCCGCGAGGCUGCUCCCCUCAAAUGCAUCGGUUGGGCCUGUGGGUCGGACUCGGUUGGGCGUUGUACCAUCCUCGCUCUUAUUCCGAGAUGUUCCCCUAUUAAUGUGCCCUACCACGACCGCCCCGUCUGGAGUCGGCGGUCAAAGCUUUUGAAGCACUUUGAAAUCUGACCUCAAAUCAGGUAGGACUACCCGCUGAACUUAA